rnacentral:lncRNA from 1 species
ACUCAGUUCAAUUACCAUUAUUAAGCCCUGUAUUAACUUUUUUAUCAGCUGAUGAUGAACUCAACAUUGUUACAUUGUUUUUCAGUUCCAUCGUUACCCAACCAGUAUCUCUUCAUUGAGUUUCAGUAAUGAUGGCAGCCUGCUGGCCAUAGCUGCGUCAUACAUGUAUGAGGAAGAUGAAAAAGAACACCCAGCAGAUGCAAUUUAUAUUCGGCGGGUUUCAGAUGCAGAAACCAAACCCAAAUGAAUGUUGAUUGUGAUCAAGGAGUAAGGAGGGAAAUCCGGGUGAACAUAAACCAACAAACAGCUCUCUACCAUUGUCGAACAAGAUAUUUUUAGACAUCUUUUAUUCUUGUGGUACACUUGCAUUGGUUGAGAUCUAUUUUUAUACACGUAUACAAAGUUUGAUGUGAAAAACGUUUGACCUCUUCUCAUAUGACUGACAGGAGCUUUUUUGUAGCUUAUCACUUUCUCAGCGAGGACAUUGACAAGGCAUUUCAUGCUUCCUCAUUAGUGAGCAGUGUUAUUAUUUCUUUGUUGAUUAGCCUUAUAAAUAAUAUGUCAAUUUUUUUCACUAGUUGGACAGUUAUAGGCAAUAUUGUACAAAUUGUUGUUGUUAGUGUACCAUCUAUAGUGAGUUAGUGACAGUUACCAUUUCGCCCUGCAUCAGCUAACUAAUGAUUCUGAUUGUGAAAGUAACAAGCAAGUUAUUAAGACAAAGUCCAAUGGGAAAUUGAGGAAUUUCAGUUUUUACUCAACAAAAGGACCUUUUACCAGAAUAACUGUGCUCGACUAUAACUGUUGAAGAAUGUAGUGACUAAGCAUACAACAAAAAGCAGAUUUUGCUAGGAAAAUGAUAGAGUAUCAUAAAAAAAAAA